UCAAAUAGUUUUCACUCUUUAUUUGGAUUUGUCUGCUCCGGUGUGUGCAUGGCGGGAAAAAAAUGGGUCAAGAAAGGAAAAGAGAAAGGGAGGGGGGGUAAGAGAACAGAGUGAGGCCCUCUGGUCCCCUCAACAUCCCUGCCUUGAAUAUGAAAAUAUAUUAUAGCAUAAUGUGUUCAGUAUGCAAGCUUGAAGGAAACCAUAUGAAAAGAUCCCAGACAAAGAGCCUUCUGUGUUCCAACUGACCCCCCUCCCACCCUCAUCCUUCGUCUGCCUCGAUUGCGAGAGGGAGAGGGAGAGAGAGAGAGAGAGAGAGAGAGAGAGAGGUAAAAAGGGGGAGGUGUGUGUGCAGACUCGUAGGAACUGAAAAGGGGCAGUACACACACUCGCUGCCUCACACGGCCAGACCCACCGGAGUACAGGUGAGCUGCAAAAAAAUCCAAACAGGAAAGGAGGAGAAUCCUGGAAUUUUAUCUGCCGCUGUGAACUUGUGGCUGCUGCAGACUUUGUCACCUGCAGCACAUUAUGUUUAUCUGUACGGGGUGGUUCUGGGCAGGAAAUGGACACGAGAGGGAUUAGAUAAAGUACAGCGACCUUUCAUCCCCUGAGUGGUCCUUAUCUACACGUUAAGCUUGGUCCACCAAAAUAAAACAAUUAAGGACUGGCUGAACAACCAGAGCACUCUUUUCGACAAAGAGCAAAACAGACAAAGGGAAAAUCUGAAAGAAGGAGCUGCUGACAGUAUUCAUGAGGAGCUUUUGAUGCAUUUAAGUAUUAAUCACAACUACCACCAGAAAAAAUAAGAACUUUCCUUUUCAAUUGUGGCUUGCUGAAUAAACAAAAGAAAGACACUGAUUAUCCUGCCUCCAGACGCUGUGUCUGGCUUUAAUGUAUAAGAAAUAACACAGGACACCAGAAUAAAGAAACUUUAAUUGAAUACAUUAGAGCUCUGAAUACAAACCAGUCUCUGGAAUGACCUUUCCAUAGUGAAAUGUUAUUCCUCGCAUGCACCUAACAGCAGGAAGCUGCCAUAUACGCAGUUCCCCUGGACGUCACUGCAGAGUUAUGAUCUCCAAGAUAAAGGGCAGAUCCUUUUCUCU
rnacentral:lncRNA from 1 species